CCUACGGGUGGCAGCAGUGGGGAAUAUUGCACAAUGGGGGUAAGACUGAUGCAGCGACGCCGCGUGCGUGAAGAAGUAUCUCGGUACGUAAAGCUCUAUCAGCAGGGAAGAAAAUGACGGUACCUGACUAAGAAGGCCCGGCUAACUCCGUGCCAGCAGCGGCGGUAAUACGUAGGGGGCGAGAGUUAUCCGGAUUUACUGGGUGUAAAGGGAGCGUAGACGGCAGCACAAGUCUGGAGUGAAAUCCCGGGGCUUAACCACGGAACUGCUGGGGAAACUGUGCUGCUGGAGUGCAGGAGGGGUAAGCGGAAUUCCUGGUGUAGCGGUGAAAUGCGUAGAUAUUAGGAGGAACACCGGUGGCGAAGGCGGCAUACUGGAGUGCAACUGACGUUGAGGCUCGAAAGCGCGGGGAGCAAACAGGAUUAGAUACCCGUGUAGUC
rnacentral:rRNA from 1 species